GAAGGAGCGCGUAGCAUUGGUGGCUAUUGUCGUGGUUGCUUCACUCGCCGUCACUUGUUUGCUUGUGGCUUUUAGCUAUUACUGCUAUAUACUUAACAAGCUCUCCAAACGCCCUGAUACCCACAAGAGUAAGUCGAAAGGAAAGGAAAGAAUAAUAUGUUUUGAACUUUGUUAUGAUUUACUUACACACUCUCCAACUGGCCCCUUUCUUUAGUCUUGUUUGAAAGUAUGUUGUCUGGGAGCUCCUUGAACAACUGGAAAAUGAAGCUACACUUUUUUUUUUUUUAAAUAAAAGCUUCUUUUAGUUUGUUACUACCACAAUUUAUUGAUGCGUUAAUGCCAAAUUUAUUAUUUUUCCUUAUUAAUGUGUACCAUAACCACUUAAAUUAUGCCCUUUUAUAUUUUCAUUUUACAAUGAUGUCUGUCAUGAUUUUCCUUGAGCG
rnacentral:misc_RNA from 1 species